rnacentral:rRNA from 1 species
UUUUGCGCAAUGGGCGAAAGCCUGACGCAGCAACGCCGCGUGAGUGAUGAAGGUUUUCGGAUCGUAAAGCUCUGUCAGAGGGGAAGAAACUCCCAGGUGUUAAUAUCGCCUGGGCCUGACGGUACCCUCAAAGGAAGCACCGGCUAACUCCGUGCCAGCAGCCGCGGUAAUACGGAGGGUGCAAGCGUUGUUCGGAAUUAUUGGGCGUAAAGCGCGUGUAGGCGGUUGGUUAAGUCUGAUGUGAAAGCCCUGGGCUCAACCCGGGAAGUGCAUUGGAAACUGGCUAACUUGAGUACGGGAGAGGGUAGUGGAAUUUCGAGUGUAGGGGUGAAAUCCGUAGAUAUUCGAAGGAACACCGGUGGCGAAGGCGGCUACCUGGACCGAUACUGACGCUGAGACGCGAAAGCGUGGGGAGCAAACAGG